UACUUUUUAAGACACCUCUGCCUAACUACAGUGAACUAACCUAAUAAUAUGCUCUGCACAUUAUCACAGUUUAGCGCGUUGGGUUGUGUUUUUAAAUCAAUUGUUACGUUUUCAAAGCUUUUUAAUGCGACAGGUGCGAUAGCCGACACCACACCUUCACCUGACGUACAACGUGACGUAUGACGCACAUGUAGCCCAGAUGGAAAAAACACAUUUACACCAAUGAUAAAGAAAGAGAGUGUUUAUUCUCUUUAUUUGAACUGUCCACAUCAACAGAACGUCAUAUUUCCUAUGACCAUUGAAUGCACCUCUCAGUUCACCCCACGUGACGGCACCUAGCUCAGCGACCAAUCAGAGCCUACGCAGGCCGCACUGACCCUGUCAGCCAGGAAGUGAGGUGAAGGUGCAUGGUGCUCCCGGGUUUUUCUCAUCUCAGCUAGAGGAGUGGAGGCAUCUGCUACUGAAACUGAGAAAUCCACGGACGAAAGAGAGGAAAAACUAAGAAUUGAGAGGAAGGAAAGCCAGCAUACUUACCUGCUGGAUGUCCGGAGUCGAGUGGCUGGAUGAAGGAGAGAAGCAACGUCGGCUAACCACUCACCUUUCAUCCGGAGAGCUGCUGCAAUUUCAACACCAGCGUGUGUUAGGCUUUUGUGAAACAGAGCAACGGUCAGGUUUUUGGAGAGGACAGAAAAGUCUGAGGACCAGGACAAAAUUCGGUCGUGAUAGAUGGCGAGCCAACCACUUUGAGGACGAUCUACCCCAAAGAAGAUACACACCCACACACUCAUACAUUUCAAUUACACU